UACGUAGGGUGCAAGCGUUAAUCGGAAUUACUGGGCGUAAAGCGUGCGCAGGCGGUUCGCUAAGACCGAUGUGAAAUCCCCGGGCUUAACCUGGGAACUGCAUUGGUGACUGGCGGGCUAGAGUAUGGCAGAGGGGGUAGAAUUCCACGUGUAGCAGUGAAAUGCGUAGAGAUGUGGAGGAAUACCGAUGGCGAAGGCAGCCCCCUGGGCCAAUACUGACGCUCAUGCACGAAAGCUAGGGGAGCAAACAGG
rnacentral:rRNA from 1 species